rnacentral:rRNA from 1 species
AAUAGAUACCCUGGUAGUCCACGCCGUAAACGAUGAGUGCUAAGUGUUAGGGGGGUUUCCGCCCCUUAGUGCUGCAGCUAACGCAUUAAGCACUCCGCCUGGGGAGUACGGUCGCAAGACUGAAAACUCAAAAGGAAUUGACGGGGGCCCGCGACAAGCGGUGGAGCAUGUGGUUUAAUUCGAAGCAACGCGAAGAACCUUACCAGGUCUUGACAUCCCGCUGACCGCUAUGGAGACAUAGUUUUCCCUUCUGGGACAGCGGUGACAGGUGGUGCAUGGUUGUCGUCAGCUCGUGUCGUGAGAUGUUGGGUUAAGUCCCGCAACGAGCGCAACCCUUGUUCUUAGUUGCCAUCAUUAACGUUGGGCACUCUAAGGAGACUGCCGGUGAUAAACCGGGAGGAAGGUGGGGAUGACGUCAAAUCAUCAUGCCCCUUAUGACCUGGGCUACACACGUGCUACAAUGGACGGUACAAACGGUUGCGAAGUCGCGAGACGGAGCCAAUCCGAGAAAACCGUUCUCAGUUCGGAUUGUAGG